rnacentral:sRNA from 12 species
GUACAACCAGCGUCCAAAUCUUGCCUCUGGCAUUUCCCUGUACGUUAGCGAUGACCGCAAGGUAGCAAUGGGUGUACCACCUAUAGCGUCAGAGUUCCCUGAUCAGGAUGGCGCUUAGGU